AUACGGAGGGUGCAAGCGUUAUUCGGAAUCACUGGGCGUAAAGGACGCGUAGGCGGGUUGGCAAGUCAGAUGUGAAAUCCUACAGCUUAACUGUAGAACUGCAUUUGAAACUGCUAACCUAGAGUAUGGGAGGGGGAGAUGGAAUUAGUGGUGUAGGGGUAAAACCCGUAGAUAUCACUAGGAAUACCGAAAGCGAAGGCGAUCUCCUGGAACAUAACUGACGCUAAGGCGUGAAAGCGUGGGGAGCAAACAGGAUUAGAAACCCGAGUGUCC
rnacentral:rRNA from 1 species